CCCAGUGAUGCGAACUGUGUUAUGCUGAGG
rnacentral:piRNA from 1 species